rnacentral:tRNA from 2 species
GGGCGAGUGGUGAAACUGGUAUACACGCAGGUUUUAGGAACCUGUGCCGUAAAAAGCGUGGAGGUUCGAGUCCUCUCUCGCCCA